GACAAACGCUGGCGGCGUGCUUAACACAUGCAAGUCGAACGAAGUGGCGCACGGGUGAGUAAUACGUGGGUAACCUGCCCUCCUUUUUGGGAUAAGCCUUGGAAACGGGGUCUAAUACAGAAUAAAGGGGGCUGCGCUCGCGGACUAUCAGCUUGUUGGUGGGGUGAUGGCCUACCAAGGCGGUGACGGGUGGCCGGCCUGCGAGGGUGACCUGCCACAUUGGGAAUGAGAUACGGCCCAGAGUCCUAGGGGAGGCAGCAGUGGGGUAUAUUGCACAAUGGGUGAAAGCCUGAUACAGCGACGCCGCGUGUAGGAAGAAGGCCUUAGGGUUGUAAAGUACUUGCAGUCGGGAGGCGUUACCGACAGAAGAAGCACCGGCUAACUCCGUGCCAGCAGCCGCGGUAAUUC
rnacentral:rRNA from 1 species